GGACAGGAGGCAGGACUAGAUUGCAGCUCCAGACAGAGCAGCUCGCAUUGUAAAUUUUAGCUCAAUAGAUUGCAAGAACAAACCAGCAAUCUCGAGAGGACAUACAGACCCUCUGAUGGAAGUGGACUGCUCCUGCAGAGCCUGGGAGACCCCCCAAAUACUUAAAAAUGCAAAAUGCGUAUGAACUUCAUUGGACAAAUAUUAUUAGAAAGGUCUGUUUCUCAAAUAACAAUUGUACAGCUGAGAUACACAUUUCAAAGAAUACCUACUAGUGGUUUCUGUUUGACAAGCUCACAGGC
rnacentral:lncRNA from 1 species